rnacentral:rRNA from 1 species
GACAGGGGUCUCGAGCGUUAAUCGGAAUCACUGGGCUUAAAGGGUGCGUAGGCGGACCCGAACGCGUCCCGUGAAAUCCCCCGGCUCAACCGGGGAACUGCGGGGCGAACGGUGGGUCUCGAGGCAGGUAGGGGUCGCCGGAACCGUAGGUGGAGCGGUGAAAUGCGUAGAUAUCUACGGGAACGCCGAUGGUGAAGACGGGCGACUGGGCCUGUCCUGACGCUGAGGCACGAAAGCGUGGGGAGCAAACAGG